rnacentral:rRNA from 1 species
UGGUGGAGCGAUUUGUCUGGUUAAUUCCGUUAACGAACGAGACCUCGACCUGCUAAAUAGUUUGGUGAAUUUUCUUAAUUCAUACAAACUUCUUAGAGGGACUAUCGGCGGCGUACCCGAUGGAAGUUCGAGGCAAUAACA